CGACGGCGUGGGUGAGCGACCCCCUCUACCUCUUUCAGGUUCCUCCUCCCUCUGAAAUAUGCUCUCAUGUAGGCUGAAUUAAAAGUGGAAGCUGACUUCUCUUCUUUGAUUUAGUCCCCUGACGUUGUUUUUUUGGUUUGUGGAGACCUGUUUCUACAUGGGUUCAGAUCCAUUUCCACAUGGGUUGGAAGCAGAUUAUCUUUGCUUGAUUUAGCCCCCUAAACAUUACGUUUUGGUUCUGUAGAUCCGUGCAACAAUAAGGAGUAGCAGCUGCUGCUGUCCCGUCUCGCUGGGCACGAGAAGGCCGAGCUGCAGAUGGGUCGCCUCCUGGCUCGUCUCCUUGCCCCCAAUUCCCUGUGCCUAUCCUCCUCUAGCUCUUGGCCCCUUCUCCACCACCACCCAUCUCCCGAUUUUCUCCAUGGCUGGAGCAGGGAGAGGCAGAGGAAAGCAGAGCACCAUAGAUGAGGAGGUGGAGCACCACGUGGAGGAGCAGCUCCCCUUAUUUGUAUGGGAUAUAUAGGUUCAUCUUCUCUUUCUCUCCAUGUGGGUGUGUUCUGGUGUUGUGCAAGCCAACUGUUUGACAAUAUGCCUAUGGGCCUGAAAUUGUUUGAUUGUGGUUAUUUAGCUGUUUAUCAAUGGUGAGCUGCUGCUACUGAUGGUGAGGGGCACAAAGACGGAGUACUCGGUGGAUCUAUAGUCGGCGGAGCGAGCCUACUACGUCGCCGAAUCCUCAGUGUUGAUCGUCAUGGGCAAGCACAUCUAGAGGAACUUACUACUAUGGUACCAGUUUAAAGGAGGCAACUAACGGCAAGUAGAAUAAAUAAAUCAGCAUGGAGUGCUGCCACAAGUGCACGGUGUAAAAUGGUAGCAAAGGAGUCAGCGGCCUCCUCGCGUGAGAUUGACCUCCGCUGCCGUUAGCUGUCACCACGUCCAGCGAGAGUGCCAUGGUCCUCUCCUCCUCCGACUGCAUCGGUUUCAGCCUCAUCUACCGCCUCAUGAUCCCGACUGCGCCGUUCGCAGGAAUGGGUAUUCGGGAUUGCUGUUGACCUUACAGGUAAACAAGACUACUGCAUCCUCUCCCCAAAUCAUUUUUCUUGUGGAAUACAAGGUAACCAGACUAACUUUGCUUAUAAGUUUUGUUGAAAGAAAAGUUUUACCUCAAUAGAUAUGUAAUACUGGCAAAAGUAUGAAUUGUUCUGGUAAAAGAAAAAUGCCUCGGGCUGUGUUUGCAGUGUACGUAUUGAGGUUUUGAUACAUGUGCCAAUAGCUAUUGAAGCGUAGCAUUAUUUUUUUCGAGAUACCUCUUGUAGUUUCUAUGUUUUAUAAAUUUGUUUGAUUGGGUGUGAGUUAUUUUAUUUAAAUAUGCUAAAUAUGUUUCAUUAUAGCUAAAUAUGCU